AAUAAACCAAUCUUUCACUUUUUACCUACAAUAUUUGACUCUUCCUCUUAUUUAAAAAUAUUUAUGAUUAACAUUUUUGUUUUAUAAGAUGAAAAUCAUAAAUAUUAUUUUAUGUAAGACUAAUUUUUUUUCAAUUUCUUGAAAAUUUUUCAAAUAAGAUGGAUGGUCAAACACUGGACAAGAAAACCAAAAGUUUGUCUUAUU
rnacentral:pre_miRNA from 1 species